rnacentral:ribozyme from 15 species
CGACAAAAACGAACAAAAAGAACACACACGAACAAAACGACAGGAAAAACGAUUGCAGUUUUUUUUUUUUUAAUUCUUCGCCUUUCUUUUGCAUUCUCUCUCUCUCUAAU